rnacentral:tRNA from 1 species
UCCCUGGUGGCUUAGAUGGUAAAGAAUCUGCCUGCAAUGCAGGAGACACAGGUUUCAUCCCUGGAUUGGGAA